ensembl:lncRNA novel transcript
GUGCUUUAUUUUUGCCUUUAAGUAAAAGGAAUCUGAAAUGAAACAAUCUUCAUUUCAGAUAUAAAUCAGCCCCAUAAACUUGAAGCUAACCAGAGAUCCUGAGGCAUUCUCAUUACAUGAAGUAAUUGGUUGGUUGCAAGACUCAAUUGUACUGCAAAGUCUUCCUGAGAAUUCAGAUGAGCAGUUAUCUGAAGAGUUACACAUCCUCUCACCCGACAUGUUGUAGGAACACAUAGCAUUGGCCAGUGGGGCGAAUGAUUUCUAGUCUCUGAUGAGGCCGGAACUCUCCAGCAAGUGGGCCUAUGACUGAGAAACCCCGGGCAACUUUGAGGUCCCUUUGAGGAAAUGAAACUUCAUCAAAAGCAGCCAAUAUUAAUGAUAUAUUGAGCAUCUAUUGUGUACAUCCAGUCUUCUAGUCUCCUUGGUGACAUUCAUCUUAUUUAACCUUCCCAGUAAAUCAGCAAAAUAAGUACCAUUACCCUCUUUUAUGGAAUAAAACUAAAACUCACAGAGGUUGAGUAACUUUUGAAUCACUCAACCUUCUCAACGCAUGAAGAAAAAAUCCGACCCAAACAAGAGACAUUGGAGAGCAGGUGCAAGAAACCUGAAUCUUAAUCCUGAAAUGGAGAAAGCCAAGAACGUCCUGAUCUAAACUACAGAGCCCUCAGAAGACUCAGAACAACACACAAGUUCUUGGGAAGCUACUGGAGGAUGUGUGUCAUCAAAACAAGGGAAUCAGCAGUCCUGUAUCUAUGAAGAAACAACUGGAAAUGAUAGGUUCUUGAAUUCCAAUUUUCUUUUAGGGUGAGAAAGUGGGCCACUCAGCUCUGCUUUAUAAUAUUGGGCUUCCGAGAAUGAUUAGCAUUCAAGUGAGCAGAGAUACUUCUAAAGUGUUCUAUUAUAUAAAUUAUACAGGGAUAAGAAAAUGGGAGGUUAGCACAGACAGAGGCGGAGUUAACCUCCAGGGUGAGGGUGAAGGGAGAUGUCUGGUACAUAGCCCAGCCCCGGGUAGGGAGGACGAGCAUCCGGACCCAAGCACUGAGGCACAGGAGGUAGACAGGCUGCGGAUUGUCAUCACCACAUCAUUGGCCACCAUACCUUCUUCUUCUUCUUUUUAAUAAACUUCAUUUUUAGAGUAGUUUUAGGGUCAUAGCAAAAUUGAAUGGAAGAUACAGAGGUUUUCCACAAACCCUCUGCCCCAACACAUGCAUAGCCUCCUCAAUUAUCCACAUCCCUCACCUCAGUGGUACGUUUGUUCCAAUUGGUGAAUCUUCAUCGACACAUCAUGAUUACCUAAAGUCCAUACUUUACAUUA